rnacentral:rRNA from 1 species
UACGAAGGGUGCAAGCGUUACUCGGAAUUACUGGGCGUAAAGCGUGCGUAGGUGGUUUCUUAAGUCUGCUGUGAAAGCCCCGGGCUCAACCUGGGAAUUGCAGUGGAUACGUGGGGAGCUAGAGUGCGGUAGAGGGUAGUGGAAUUCCCGGUGUAGCGGUGAAAUGCGUAGAGAUCGGGAGGAACACCAGUGGCGAAGGCGGCUACCUGGACCAGCACUGACACUGAGGCACGAAGGCGUGGGGAGCAAACAGG